rnacentral:rRNA from 1 species
UACGGAGGGUGCAAGCGUUAUCCGGAUUUACUGGGUUUAAAGGGUGCGUAGGUGGGUUGGGAAGUCAGUGGUGAAAUACUUUCGCUUAACGAAGGAACUGCCAUUGAUACUAUCAAUCUUGAAUGUAGUGGAGGUAGGCGGAAUGCGUCAUGUAGCGGUGAAAUGCUUAGAUAUGACGCAGAACACCAAUUGCGAAGGCAGCUUGCUACACUACUAUUGACACUGAGGCACGAAAGCGUGGGGAGCAAACAGG